UUCGCGGACGAUUUCACAUCACCAGUGGUAGCUAUCCUUGAUCACACCAUGUUCACUUGGCUGAUGCUCUCCUGCCUCUUAGGCUUCUCCCUGGCUGAGGUUCAGGAUUACCAAAUAUGUUACAAGGGAAACAGCGCGCUGAAAAC